rnacentral:rRNA from 1 species
AACGAACGCUGGCGGCAGGCUUAACACAUGCAAGUCGAGCGCACCGCAAGGGGAGCGGCAGACGGGUGAGUAACGCGUGGGAAUCUACCGUGCCCUACGGAAUAACGCAUGGAAACGUGUGCUAAUACCGUAUACGCCCUACAGGGGAAAGAUUUAUCGGGGUAUGAUGAGCCCGCGUUGGAUUAGCUAGUUGGUGGGGUAAAGGCCUACCAAGGCGACGAUCCAUAGCUGGUCUGAGAGGAUGAUCAGCCACAUUGGGACUGAGACACGGCCCAAACUCCUACGGGAGGCAGCAGUGGGGAAUAUUGGACAAUGGGCGCAAGCCUGAUCCAGCCAUGCCGCGUGAGUGAUGAAGGUCUUAGGAUUGUAAAGCUCUUUCACCGGUGAAGAUAAUGACGGUAACCGGAGAAGAAGCCCCGGCUAACUUCGUGCCAGCCGCCGCGGUAA